UACGUAGGAUGCAAGCGUUGUUCGGAAUUACUGGGCGUAAAGGGCUCGUAGGUGGCCAACUAAGUCGGACGUGAAAUCCCUCGGCUUAACCGGGGAACUGCGUCUGAUACUGGAUGGCUUGAGUUCGGGAGAGGGAUGCGGAAUUCCAGGUGUAGCGGUGAAAUGCGUAGAUAUCUGGAGGAACACCGGUGGCGAAGGCGGCAUCCUGGACCGACACUGACGCUGAGGAGCGAAAGCCAGGGGAGCAAACGGG
rnacentral:rRNA from 1 species